UGGGGAAUUUUGGACAAUGGGGGAAACCCUGAUCCUGCCAUCCCGCGUUUGCGAUGAAGGCCUUCGGGUUUUAAAGCACUUUUGGCAGGAAAGAAACGUCAUGGGUUAAUACCCCGUGAAACUGACGGUACCUGCAGAAUAAGCACCGGCUAACUACGUGCCAGCAGCCGCGGUAAUACGUUGGGUGCAAGCGUUAAUCGGAAUUACUGGGCGUAAAGCGUGCGCAGGCGGUACGGAAAGAAAGAUGUGAAAUCCCAGAGCUCAACUUUGGAACUGCAUUUUUAACUACCGGGCUAGAGUGUGUCAGAGGGAGGUGGAAGUCCGCGUGUAGCAGUGAAAUACGUAGAUAUGCGGAGGAACACCGAUGGAGAAGGCAGCCUCCUGGGAUAACACUGACGCUCAUGCACGAAAGCGUGGGGAGCAAACAGG
rnacentral:rRNA from 1 species